UACGUAGGGGGCAAGCGUUGUCCGGAAUUAUUGGGCGUAAGGAGCGUGUAGGCGGUCCGGUAAGUCAGCUGUGAAAGUCAAGGGCUCAACCCUUGAAUGCCGGUUGAUACUGUCGGGCUAGAGUCCGGAAGAGGCGAGUGGAAUUCCCGGUGUAGCGGUGAAAUGCGCAGAUAUCGGGAGGAACACCAAUGGCGAAGGCAGCUCGCUGGGCUGACACUGACGCUGAGGCGCGAAAGCUAGGGGAGCGAACGGG
rnacentral:rRNA from 1 species